UCGAGAAUCAUUCGCAAUGGGCGAAAGCCUGACGAUGCGACGCCGUGUGAGCGAAGAAGGCCUUAGGGUCGUAAAGCUCUUUCGCCUGGGAACAAGAGAGGUUGGUUAAUACCCAGCCAAUUUGAGGGUACCAGGUAAAGAAGCACCGGCUAACUCCGUGCCAGCAGCUGCGGUAAUACGGAGGGUGCAAGCAUUAAUCGGAUUUAUUGGGCGUAAAGGGCGCGUAGGCGGGGAUACAAGUCAGAUGUGAAAUCCUGGGGCUCAACCUCAGAACUGCAUUUGAAACUGUAUCUCUAGAGGGUAGGAGGAGAAAACGGAAUUCCACAAGUAGCGGUGAAAUGCGUAGAUAUGUGGAAGAACACCGGUGGCGAAGGCGGUUUUCUAUCUUAUUCCUGACGCUGAGGCGCGAAAGCAAGGGGAUCAAACAGGAUUAGAUACCCACGUAGUCCCUGAGCGGGCUGGCAAGGCGCAU
rnacentral:rRNA from 1 species